rnacentral:rRNA from 1 species
GGCCUAAAAUGCAAGUCGAGCGGUAACACAGGGAGCUUGCUCCUGGGUGACGAGCGGCGGACGGGUGAAUAAUGUCUGGGAAACUGCCUGAUGGAGGGGGAUAACUACUGGAAACGGUAGCUAAUACCGCAUAACGUCUCAAGACCAAAGAGGGGGACCUUCUGGCCUCUUGCCAUCACAUGUGCCCCCAUGGGAUUAUCUAGUAGGUGGGGUAACGGCUCACCUAGGCGACAAUCCCUAGCUGGUCUGAGAGGAUGACCAGCCUCUCUGGAAAUGAGACACUGUCCACACUCCUACGGUAGGCGCC